UACGGAGGAUGCAAGCGUUAUCCGGAAUUAUUGGGCGUAAAGCGUCCGCAGGUGGUUUUACAAGUCUGCUGUCAAAGCGCGGAGCUUAACUUCGUAUCGGCAGUGGAAACUGUGGAACUAGAGUUUGGUAGGGGUCACGGGAAUUCCCAGUGUAGCGGUGAAAUGCGUAGAUAUUGGGAGGAACACCAGUGGCGAAGGCGACUUCCUGGCCUGUUCUUGACGCUGAGGCGCGAAAGCUAGGGGAGCAAACGGG
rnacentral:rRNA from 1 species